AGGACACCGCCCUUUCACGGCGGUAACAGGGGUUCGAAUCCCCUAAGGGACGCCACCUGCUGGUAAUGAGUGAAAGGCGUUACCGAUUGAUAUCUCAAAACUGACUGUAAAGUCACGUUUGAGAUAUUUGCUCUUUAACAAUCCGGAACAAGCUGAAAAUUGAAACAGACAUGCUGCUGCAUUUCUCCGUAAUAAGAAAUGCGCGGUGUGUCAGAGUCUCUCAAACUCGGCACCCGAAGAC
rnacentral:misc_RNA from 1 species